AACGAACGCUGGCGGCAGGCUUAACACAUGCAAGUCGAACGCCCCGCAAGGGGAGUGGCAGACGGGUGAGUAACGCGUGGGAAUCUACCUAGUUCUACGGAACAACAGUUGGAAACGACUGCUAAUACCGUAUACGCCCUACGGGGGAAAGAUUUAUCGGAAUUAGAUGAGCCCGCGUAAGAUUAGCUAGUUGGUGGGGUAAUGGCCUACCAAGGCGACGAUCUUUAGCUGGUCUGAGAGGAUGAUCAGCCACACUGGGACUGAGACACGGCCCAGACUCCUACGGGAGGCAGCAGUGGGGAAUAUUGGACAAUGGGCGCAAGCCUGAUCCAGCCAUGCCGCGUGAGUGAUGAAGGCCCUAGGGUUGUAAAGCUCUUUCACCGAUGAAGAUAAUGACGGUAGUCGGAGAAGAAGCCCCGGCUAACUUCGUGCCAGCCGCCGCAGUAACAC
rnacentral:rRNA from 1 species